GACGAACGCUGGCGGCGUGCUUAACACAUGCAAGUCGAACGGUAAGGCCCUUCGGGUACACGAGUGGCGAACGGGUGAGUAACACGUGGUGAUCUGCCCUGCACUUCGGGAUAAGCCUGGGAAACUGGGUCUAAUACCGGAUAGGACCAUGGACUUCACGGUUUGUGGUGGAAAGCUUUUGCGGUGUGGGAUGGGCCCGCGGCCUAUCAGCUUGUUGGUGGGGUAAUGGCCUACCAAGGCGACGACGGGUAGCCGGCCUGAGAGGGUGUCCGGCCACACUGGGACUGAGAUACGGCCCAGACUCCUACGGGAGGCAGCAGUGGGGAAUAUUGCACAAUGGGCGCAAGUCUGAUGCAGCGACGCCGCGUGAGGGAUGACGGCCU
rnacentral:rRNA from 1 species